rnacentral:rRNA from 1 species
UACGUAGGCAGCAAGCGUUGUUCGGAGUUACUGGGCGUAAAGGGUGUGUAGGCGGUCUUCUAAGUUUGGUGUGAAAUCUCCCGGCUCAACUGGGAGGGUGCGCCGAAAACUGGGAGGCUAGAGUGCGGGAUGGGAGAGUGGAAUUCCUGGUGUAGCGGUGAAAUGCGUAGAUAUCGGGAAGAACACCGAUGGCGAAGGCAGCCCCCUGGGCUAACACUGACGCUGAUGCACGAAAGCGUGGGGAGCAAACAGG